CUUUUGGAAAAAGGCCGCCCUCGAAGAAUCAAUAUACAUAAAUAAGUCAUUAUUUUUACAAUUACACCACUUCAUUACCUUGCCGAAAAUAUUUU
rnacentral:lncRNA from 1 species